rnacentral:tRNA from 1 species
GGUGUUGUGGCUCAGUGGUAGAGCGCUCCCCUACAUGUGUGAGGCACUGGGUUCAAUCCUCAGCACCA